rnacentral:rRNA from 1 species
GAUCAUGGCUCAGGAUGAACGCUAGCUACAGGCUUAACACAUGCAAGUCGAGGGGCAGCAUGAACUUGGCUUGCUAAGUUUGAUGGCGACCGGCGCACGGGUGAGUAACACGUAUCCAACCUGCCGAUGACUCGGGGAUAGCCUUUCGAAAGAAAGAUUAAUACCCGAUGGCAUAGUUCUUCCGCAUGGUAGAACUAUUAAAGAAUUUCGGCCAUCGAUGGGGAUGCGUUCCAUUAGG